GUCUAUUUUACCUUCGGUUUUGUGAUACAUUUUUCAGUUAACCUCCGAUCACUGUUUAGUGAAUAUAUAUUUCAAUCAAGGAGCUGAAUUGAUUUGAAGGUUGUAACAUUGGACACAGAUCUAGCCUGUACUGUCUAGUAUUUCAUCUCCAUGAUUAAAAUAAAUCUCAAACUAUUGAACUCUAGCAUUAACAGUAACUUGAUGAUAAUUUUUUUUUUUU